rnacentral:rRNA from 1 species
UUUACCGGGGUUUGACAUGCAGGUGAUCGCCGUUGAAAGACGGUUUUCCUCUUCGGAGGCACCUGCACAGGUGCUGCAUGGCUGUCGUCAGCUCGUGUCGUGAGAUGUUGGGUUAAGUCCCGCAACGAGCGCAACCCUUAUCCCCAGUUGCCAUCAGGUAAAGCUGGGAACUCUGGGGAGACUGCCGGUGAUAAACCGGAGGAAGGCGGGGAUGACGUCAAGUCCUCAUGGCCCUUACAUCCCGGGCUACACACGUGCUACAAUGGCAGGUACAGAGGGCUGCAAAGCCGCGAGGUAGAGCGAAUCCCAGAAAACCUGUCUCAGUCCGGAUUGAAGUCUGCAACUCGACUUCAUGAAGGCGGAAUCGCUAGUAACCGCGAAUCAGCAGGUCGCGGUGAAUACGUUCCCGGGCCUU